CCACUUCAGCAGCAAAUAUACUAAACUUGAAACUAUACAGAGAUGAUUAGCAGGGCCCCUGCACCAGGACAACACACAAACACAAGCAAACAAAAGUUCUAUAU